GCGAUGUCUCGGGAUGAGGUAGUAGGUUGUAUAGUUUAGAGUUACAACACGGGAGAUAACUGUACAGCCUCCUAGCUUUCCUCGAGCAGACGC
ensembl:miRNA mirlet7a-4 microRNA let7a-4